UACGGAGGGGGCUAGCGUUGUUCGGAAUUACUGGGGCGUAAAGCGCACGUAGGCGGCUUUGUAAGUUAGAGGUGAAAGCCCAGGGCUUAACCCUGGAAUUGCCUUUAAGACUGCAUCGCUAGAAUCGUGGAGAGGUGAGUGGAAUUCCGAGUGUAGAGGUGAAAUUCGUAGAUAUUCGGAAGAACACCAGUGGCGAAGGCGACUCACUGACACGUAUUGACGCUGAGGUGCGAAAGCGUGGGGAGCAAACAGG
rnacentral:rRNA from 1 species